CACAUUUCCGCCUGAUGAGCCUUUCUGAGCUUCAGUGUUGGAGGAAUCGGGGCAGGAAGUCUCCAGGUGGCUCACUCCCUGGUAAGUGAAGCCUUGUGGUGCUCAGGUAAGGAGGAAAAUGGAGGCAGCUGAGCAGGGAAUGCCGCCUAGAAUCGCUUAAACUUGCUGCGGGCCAUUCCCUGAGCCAAGCUGUUCUGGAGGUCCGCCCAGAUGAGGGUCUCCUCGGCGUCGGAGGGCUCGAUUCUCCUUGCUGUCUUGAUUUGGCCUUGCUCUGGCCUUCCUGGGGAGAUGGACGUGAGAAUAUAUUGUUCUCUGGAGUGGUUGGUGGUCUCUGUCAGCCCACACAGGUAUAGCAGAAGCAACCCUUAUAUGUUUGCGGAUGAAUUAGCUCUGGGCCAGAGCUGCCUGGCGACGGAGAUACAAACCUAUGUGUAUCGUUUUGUGUACCUUGUUAGUGCUUGUGGCAUCAGGACACAGGUGAUCUCCGAGAAUGUUCUUCUUAUUCAAACGGAGCUGUACUACACCCCGAGGGAUGGUCACAGCAACCCCGAGAAGGCCUUCUUGACGUGUAUCACCUCUCAGAAAUCAGUGUGGAUUACUCCAGUUUCUACUGAGGAUGAUAUAAAAUUGAAGACCAGUCACUUUAUGUCUGACUUUCAGACUACACCAGAAGAGUUAGGGUUAUUACAUUCCAGUGAAAUAUGUCCCCUCUGAAGACUGGUAGUUGGGAUGAUAAAUUUUGUUGGAGAACAAUUUCUUAUAUAGAAAUAUGGUUGAUAUAAAUUUCUCUUUAGGUAUAUGAUUCCUUAAAAUUCUAAUUCAGUAAAGACCAUGAUUAAUGAAGACAUAUUUUUAGAUAAUUUUAUUCAAGGCAUAUGGCUGAUUAAUUUAAUGUUAACUAUUCAGUAAUUUGUAAUAUCCACUUACAUUUUUCUGUUCUGUAUAGUAGAUUCAGUAAUAUGUUUUCAAUGACAGGGAUUUGAUCUAAAUGAUAUGAACUUUCAAGAACUGUUUUAAAUAUUUUUCAGUAAUAAAGAAUACUGAUAAGCUUGUAUGCAUGUCAGAUUACAAACUUUGAGCAUAGUAUAAAAUUGAACAUACUAACUCAUGGGAAAUUAAAAAAUCCUAUGUGCCAGUACCUUAGUGUGAGCUUUCCUAAUCCAUCAGUGAAGUCAAAUCCUGGAAGUAAUUCAACAUACGAUAACAUAUUUGGGUAAUUAUUCCAGAAGGACAUUCGAUUCAUACUCCAGAUUUUAAGCAAUCCUUCCUUGACUAAAAUUUGGUGUCAGAUUUUCCUUUUUCUCCAGUCUGAUUUCUCCACCUUUGAAAUUGUUGUACUCAGUCAUGAAAUCAUGGUGCCAAUUAGGGAGCAAGUCAUUACCUGGUUAUUUGACACUUGCUAUUCUGUGUUGUUUUUGUUUUUCCCCAACAAGGAGUCUGCCCAUGUAAUACACCAAAACUCACUUCUGGUUUUGGGAGAUUUCUUCUAUGAAGUGUAAGAAUUGAACUGUCUUUGGCUAUUCUGUUUUAUCAAAUGUACAUUUUGGAUGUUACAUUCUUUUGGGAACAGAUUUUUGCCAAGAUAAUAUUUUUCAUUAAAGGCUUUAUAAAAAUUAAAGUGCUGUUACCAUUUUCAGUACAAUAUUGCCUGCAGUUGUUAACUUGUCAAACAAAGAAGUUGACAAUGACAUCAUGGACAUCUAUCCGUGGAGGUUAGUAGACAGCUGAGAAGUAAAAUUUCCGUGGGGCUUAAUGAAUGUCAGGUAGAAUUCUUUAUAGCAGUUUAAUUC
rnacentral:lncRNA from 1 species